rnacentral:tRNA from 1 species
AGUAAAAUGGCUGAAUAAAAUAAGUAAUAAAUUGUAAAUUUAUUUAUAAGAGUAAUUAUCUUUUUUACUA